rnacentral:rRNA from 1 species
CCUACGGGAGGCAGCAGUGGGGAAUCUUGCGCAAUGGGCGAAAGCCUGACGCAGCAACGCCGCGUGCGGGAAGAAGGCUUUCGGGCUGUAAACCGCUUUCAGCAGGAACGAAAAUGACGGUACCUGCAGAAGAAGGAGCGGCCAACUAUGUGCCAGCAGCCGCGGUGAUACAUAGGCUUCAAGCGUUGUCCGGAUUUAUUGGGCGUAAAGAGUUCGUAGGCGGUCGAGUAAGUCGGGUGUGAAAAUUCUGGGCUCAACCCAGAGACGCCACCCGAUACUGCUUAACUCGAGUUCGAUAGGGGAGUGGGGAAUUCCUAGUGUAGCGGUGAAAUGCGCAGAUAUUAGGAGGAACACCGGUGGCGAAGGCGCCACUCUGGAUCGAUACUGACGCUGAGGAACGAAAGCAUGGGUAGCAAACAGGAUUAGAUACCCUGGUAGUCCAUGCCGUAAACGGUGGGCACUAGGUGUGGGAGUNUAUACUAUACGCGCGUCGCUACGCAUACGUCGCCCGCCGUCGGGUACGGUACGGUCGCGAGAACGUAAACCGUACGAAAGGAAAGUUAAGUACGGCGUUGAGACGUUGCGAACGGACGACGACGAGGGAGGAGG